rnacentral:rRNA from 1 species
GAUGAACGCUGGCGGCGUGCCUAAUACAUGCAAGUCGAGCGAACGGACGAGAAGCUUGCUUCUCUGAUGUUAGCGGCGGACGGGUGAGUAACACGUGGAUAACCUACCUAUAAGACUGGGAUAACUUCGGGAAACCGGAGCUAAUACCGGAUAAUAUUUUGAACCGCAUGGUUCAAAAGUGAAAGACGGUCUUGCUGUCACUUAUAGAUGGAUCCGCGCUGCAUUAGCUAGUUGGUAAGGUAACGGCUUACCAAGGCAACGAUGCAUAGCCGACCUGAGAGGGUGAUCGGCCACACUGGAACUGAGACACGGUCCAGACUCCUACGGGAGGCAGCAGUAGGGAAUCUUCCGCAAUGGGCGAAAGCCUGACGGAGCAACGCCGCGUGAGUGAUGAAGGUCUUCGGAUCGUAAAACUCUGUUAUUAGGGAAGAACAUAUGUGUAAGUAACUGUGCACAUCUUGACGGUACCUAAUCAGAAAGCCACGGCUAACUACGUGCCAGCAGCCGCGGUAAUACGUAGGUGGCAAGCGUUAUCCGGAAUUAUUGGGCGUAAAGCGCGCGUAGGCGGUUUUUUAAGUCUGAUGUGAAAGCCCACGGCUCAACCGUGGAGGGUCAUUGGAAACUGGAAAACUUGAGUGCAGAAGAGGAAAGUGGAAUUCCAUGUGUAGCGGUGAAAUGCGCAGAGAUAUGGAGGAACACCAGUGGCGAAGGCGACUUUCUGGUCUGUAACUGACGCUGAUGUGCGAAAGCGUGGGGAUCAAACAGGAUUAGAUACCCUGGUAGUCCACGCCGUAAACGAUGAGUGCUAAGUGUUAGGGGGUUUCCGCCCCUUAGUGCUGCAGCUAACGCAUUAAGCACUCCGCCUGGGGAGUACGACCGCAAGGUUGAAACUCAAAGGAAUUGACGGGGACCCGCACAAGCGGUGGAGCAUGUGGUUUAAUUCGAAGCAACGCGAAGAACCUUACCAAAUCUUGACAUCCUUUGACAACUCUAGAGAUAGAGCUUUCCCCUUCGGGGGACAAAGUGACAGGUGGUGCAUGGUUGUCGUCAGCUCGUGUCGUGAGAUGUUGGGUUAAGUCCCGCAACGAGCGCAACCCUUAAGCUUAGUUGCCAUCAUUAAGUUGGGCACUCUAAGUUGACUGCCGGUGACAAACCGGAGGAAGGUGGGGAUGACGUCAAAUCAUCAUGCCCCUUAUGAUUUGGGCUACACACGUGCUACACUGGACAAUACAAAGGGCAGCGAAACCGCGAGGUCAAGCAAAUCCCAUAAAGUUGUUCUCAGUUCGGAUUGUAGUCUGCAACCCGACUACAUGAAGCUGGAAUCGCUAGUAAUCGUAGAUCAGCAUGCUACGGUGAAUACGUUCCCGGGUCU